GACGAACGCUGGCGGCGUGCUUAACACAUGCAAGUCGAACGGAGUGGCGAACGGGUGAGUAACACGUGGGUGACCUGCCCUGCACUCCGGGAUAAGCCUGGGAAACUCGGUUUAAUACCGGCUAGUGUGGGAUGGGCCCGCGGCCUAUCAGCUUGUUGGUGGGGUAAUGGCCUACCAAGGCGGCGACGGGUAGCCGGCCUGAGAGGGUGGACGGCCACAUUGGGACUAAGCCACGUCCCAGGCCGCUACGGUAGGCAGCAGUGGGGAGUAUGGCACAAUGGGCAGAGGCCAGGUGCAGGGACGCCGGGUGGGAGAUGACGGCCUACGGGUUGGGAAGGCGUUUCGCCAUCGACGCGGAGGAUGGGGAGGAAGCAACGGCUAACGACGUGCCAGCAGCCGCGGUAAUAC
rnacentral:rRNA from 1 species